CUCAGCUCCUCCACAUGGAGCCAGUAAGAACUGGAGCACAUGGAACAAACAUUUGUGCGAACAAAGACAAGGCCUUCGGGAAGUACUACUCCAAACCCACAGAGGCUCCGGAGCCGAUGGACGUGGAGAACACAGAGAGGAGCGGCUUCAUGAAGACGGAGCUAUAUCAGUGUCAGAAGUGUAAGCAGAGAAAACGUCCAGACUGCAGGACAACAUGAUGCCGAUGUCUCCUGACGACUACAAGGUUUUGGAGCAGUUCGUCGGUCCCAGAGACAUCGACACCGUGACCAGCAAUCUGAUUGGAUUUGGAGAGUUUGACGUUCAGAUGAGCGCAGACUUUCCUGACCAGAACUAAAGAUGGGUUCACUGCAGACAGGAGAUGAUCGCAGCUAAUUCUGCAUACUUAUAAUAAAAAUAUGUGAAUAAAUGUAUAUGCUGUGAUUACUGGUGAUUAUUGAUCACUUGGACAUUGUGUAUUUAAGUCUGCAAAAACAUCUUAUUGUGUGGAGCAUUCAACCUGAGCUUUUUAUUUAAGAAACUGUAUCAGUGGCUGUAGUUUUCAUCAGUGUUGUAACAGCAAUUAAACCACUGUACAACUGAGU